rnacentral:rRNA from 1 species
UACGGAGGGAGCUAGCGUUGUUCGGAAUCACUGGGCGUAAAGCGCACGUAGGCGGCUUUGUAAGUUAGAGGUGAAAGCCCGGGGCUCAACUCCGGAACUGCCUUUAAGACUGCAUCGCUUGAAUCUGGGAGAGGUAAGUGGAAUUCCGAGUGUAGAGGUGAAAUUCGUAGAUAUUGGGAGGAACACCGGUGGCGAAAGCGGCUCCCUGGUCCGAUACUGACGCUCAUGUGCGAAAGCGUGGGGAGCAAACAGGAUUAGAAACCCGGGUAGU